rnacentral:rRNA from 1 species
GGUCGUAAAACUCUGUCCUCAAGGAAGAUAAUGACGGUACUUGAGGAGGAAGCCCCGGCUAACUACGUGCCAGCAGCCGCGGUAAUACGUAGGGGGCUAGCGUUAUCGAUUUACUGGGCGUAAGGUGCGUAGGCGGUCUUUCAAGUCAGGAGUGAAAGGCUACGGCUCAACCGUAGUAAGCUCUUGAAACUGGGAGACUUGAGUGCAGGAGAGGAGAGUGGAAUUCCUAGUGUAGCGGUGAAAUGCGUAGAUAUUAGGAGGAACACCAGUUGCGAAGGCGGCUCUCUGGACUGUAACUGACGCUGAGGCACGAAAGCGUGGGGAGCAAACAGGAUUAGAUACCCUGGUAGUCCACGCUGUAAACGAUGAGUACUAGGUGUCGGGGGUUACCCCUUCGGUGCCGCAGCU